rnacentral:rRNA from 1 species
AGUGAACGCCGGCGGUAGGCCUAACACAUGCAAGUCGAACGGCCGCACAGUAAGAGCUUGCUCUUACGGGUGGCGAGUGGCGGACGGGUGAGGAAUACAUCGGAAUCUACUUUUUCGUGGGGGAUAACGCAGGGAAACUUACGCUAAUACCGCAUACGACCUACGGGUGAAAGCAGGGGAUCUUCGGACCUUGCGCGAUUGAUUGAGCCGAUGUCGGAUUAGAUAGUUGGCUGGGUAAAGGCCCACCAAGGCUACGAUCCGUAGCUGGUCUGAGAGCAUGAUCAGCCACAGUGAGACCGAGACACGGUCCGUGCUCCGACGGGAGGCAGCAGUGGGUAAUAUUGGACAAUGGGCGCAAGCCUGAUCCAGCCAUACCGCGUGGGUGAAGAAGGCUUUCGGGUUGUAAAGCCCUUUUGUUGGGAAAGAAAAGCAGCAGGUUAAUACCCCGCUAUUCUGACGGUACCCAAAGAAUAAGCACCGGCUAACUUCGUG